rnacentral:rRNA from 1 species
CUGUGGUAAUUCUAGAGCUAAUACAUGCCACGAAGCGCCGACCUUACGGAAGGCGUGCUUUUAUUAGGAUCAAGACCAACACGGGCUUGCCCGGCUUCGUUGGUGAACUCUGGAUAACUUCGCAGAUCGCAUUGUCAUCGAACAGGCGACAUUUCUUUCAAACGUCUGACCUAUCAAUUUUCGAUGGUACGAUAUGCGCCUACCAUGGUGCUAACGGGUGACGGGGAAUCAGGGUUCGAUUCCGGAGAGGGAGCCUGAGAAACGGCUACCACAUCCAAGGGAGGCAGCAGGUGCGCAAAUUACCCACUCUCGAAACGAGGAGGUAGUGACGAAAAAUAACAAUACAGGACUCUUUCGAGGCCCUGUAAUUGGAAUGAGUACACUUUAAAUCCUUUAACGAGGAUCUACUGGAGGGCAAGUCUGGUGCCAGCAGCCGCGGUAAUUCCAGCUCCAGUGGCGUAUAUUAAUACUGCUGCAGUUAAAAAGCUCGUAGUUGGAUCUAGGGCGUAGGCUGAGGGUCCCUCGCAAGGGGUGCACCUCUCAGACCUGGCCUCCCUCGCGGUUUGCGCUCGGUUCUCUUGAUUGAGUGCCGAGUGCUACCGGAACGUUUACUUUGAAAAAAUUGGAGUGUUCAAAGCAGGCGUAACAGCCUGAACAGCAGAGCAUGGAAUAAUGGAAUAGGACCUCGGUUCUAUUGCGUUGGUUUUAAGAGUUACGAGGUAAUGAUUAAGAGGGACUGACGGGGGCAUUCGUAUUGCGGUGUGAGAGGUGAAAUUCUAGGAUCGCCGCAAGACGACCGACAGCGAAAGCAUUUGCCAAGAAUGUCUUCAUUAAUCAAGAACGAAAGUUAGAGGUUCGAAGGCGAUCAGAUACCGCCCUAGUUCUAACCAUAAACUAUGCCGACCGGCGAUUCGCCGGCGUUACUCCAAUGACACGGCAGGCA